rnacentral:rRNA from 1 species
UGGGGAAUAUUGCACAAUGGGCGAAAGCCUGAUGCAGCAACGCCGCGUGAGUGAUGAAGGCCUUCGGGUUGUAAAGCUCUGUCUUCUGGGACGAUAAUGACGGUACCAGAGGAGGAAGCCACGGCUAACUACGUGCCAGCAGCCGCGGUAAUACGUAGGUGGCAAGCGUUGUCCGGAUUUACUGGGCGUAAAGGAUGCGUAGGCGGAUACUUAAGUCAGAUGUGAAAAUCCCGGGCUUAACUUGGGAACUGCAUUUGAAACUGGGUUUCUAGAGUGCGGGAGAGGAAAGUGGAAUUCCUAGUGUAGCGGUGAAAUGCGUAGAGGUUAGGAAGAACACCAGUGGCGAAGGCGACUUUCUGGACCGUAACUGACGCUGAGGCAUGAAAGCGUGGGGAGCAAACA